rnacentral:misc_RNA from 1 species
UUGAUGUCCGCUGGGAGCUGG